AGUCUUGCCGGUGGAUCACUUGGCUCGUAGGUCGAUAAAGAUCGCAGCCAAACGCGAUAGUUGGUGCGAACUGCAGAUAUUCUGAGCACUAAAGUAUCGAAUGCACAUUGCGCCUUGGGAAUCACAUCCCUUGGCACGUCUGGUUCAGGGUCGUUUUCACAAAAGCCGC
rnacentral:rRNA from 1 species